rnacentral:rRNA from 1 species
GAUGAACGCUAGCUACAGGCUUAACACAUGCAAGUCGAGGGGCAGCAUGGUCUUAGCUUGCUAAGGCCGAUGGCGACCGGCGCACGGGUGAGUAACACGUAUCCAACCUGCCGUCUACUCUUGGACAGCCUUCUGAAAGGAAGAUUAAUACAAGAUGGCAUCAUGAGUCCGCAUGUUCACAUGAUUAAAGGUAUUCCGGUAGACGAUGGGGAUGCGUUCCAUUAGAUAGUAGGCGGGGUAACGGCCCACCUAGUCUUCGAUGGAUAGGGGUUCUGAGAGGAAGGUCCCCCACAUUGGAACUGAGACACGGUCCAAACUCCUACGGGAGGCAGCAGUGAGGAAUAUUGGUCAAUGGGCGAGAGCCUGAACCAGCCAAGUAGCGUGAAGGAUGACUGCCCUAUGGGUUGUAAACUUCUUUUAUAAAGGAAUAAAGUCGGGUAUGCAUACCCGUUUGCAUGUACUUUAUGAAUAAGGAUCGGCUAACUCCGUGCCAGCAGCCGCGGUAAUACGGAGGAUCCGAGCGUUAUCCGGAUUUAUUGGGUUUAAAGGGAGCGUAGAUGGAUGUUUAAGUCAGUUGUGAAAGUUUGCGGCUCAACCGUAAAAUUGCAGUUGAUACUGGAUAUCUUGAGUGCAGUUGAGGCAGGCGGAAUUCGUGGUGUAGCGGUGAAAUGCUUAGAUAUCACGAAGAACUCCGAUUGCGAAGGCAGCCUGCUAAGCUGCAACUGACAUUGAGGCUCGAAAGUGUGGGUAUCAAACAGGAUUAGAUACCCUGGUAGUCCACACGGUAAACGAUGAAUACUCGCUGUUUGCGAUAUACAGCAAGCGGCCAAGCGAAAGCGUUAAGUAUUCCACCUGGGGAGUACGCCGGCAACGGUGAAACUCAAAGGAAUUGACGGGGGCCCGCACAAGCGGAGGAACAUGUGGUUUAAUUCGAUGAUACGCGAGGAACCUUACCCGGGCUUAAAUUGCAGAUGAAUUACGGUGAAAGCCGUAAGCCGCAAGGCAUCUGUGAAGGUGCCGCAUGGUUGUCGUCAGCUCGUGCCGUGAGGUGUCGGCUUAAGUGCCAUAACGAGCGCAACCCUUGUUGUCAGUUACUAACAGGUCAUGCUGAGGACUCUGACAAGACUGCCAUCGUAAGAUGUGAGGAAGGUGGGGAUGACGUCAAAUCAGCACGGCCCUUACGUCCGGGGCUACACACGUGUUACAAUGGGGGGUACAGAGGGCCGCUACCACGCGAGUGGAUGCCAAUCCCAAAAACCUCUCUCAGUUCGGACUGGAGUCUGCAACCCGACUCCACGAAGCUGGAUUCGCUAGUAAUCGCGCAUCAGCCACGGCGCGGUGAAUACGUUCCCGGGCCUUAUACACACCGCCCGUCAAGCCAUGGGAGCCGGGGGUACCUGAAGUGCGUAACCGCGAGGAGCGCCCUAGGGUAAAACUGGUGACUGGGGCU